CGGGACACGUGGUAUCCUGUCUGAAUAUGGGGGGACCAUCCUCCAAGGCUAAAUACUCCUGACUGACCGAUAGUGAACCAGUACCGUGAGGGAAAGGCGAAAAGAACCCCGGCGAGGGGAGUGAAAAAGAACCUGAAACCGUGUACGUACAAGCAGUGGGAGCACGCUUAGGCGUGUGACUGCGUACCUUUUGUAUAAUGGGUCAGCGACUUAUAUUCUGUAGCAAGGUUAACCGAAUAGGGGAGCCGAAGGGAAACCGAGUCUUAACUGGGCGUUAAGUUGCAGGGUAUAGACCCGAAACCCGGUGAUCUAGCCAUGGGCAGGUUGAAGGUUGGGUAACACUAACUGGAGGACCGAACCGACUAAUGUUGAAAAAUUAGCGGAUGACUUGUGGCUGGGGGUGAAAGGCCAAUCAAACCGGGAGAUAGCUGGUUCUCCCCGAAAGCUAUUUAGGUAGCGCCUCGUGAAUUCAUCUCCGGGGGUAGAGCACUGUUUCGGCAAGGGGGUCAUCCCGACUUACCAACCCGAUGCAAACUGCGAAUACCGGAGAAUGUUAUCACGGGAGACACACGGCGGGUGCUAACGUCCGUCGUGAAGAGGGAAACAACCCAGACCGCCAGCUAAGGUCCCAAAGUCAUGGUUAAGUGGGAAACGAUGUGGGAAGGCCCAGACAGCCAGGAUGUUGGCUUAGAAGCAGCCAUCAUUUAAAGAAAGCGUAAUAGCUCACUGGUCGAGUCGGCCUGCGCGGAAGAUGUAACGGGGCUAAACCA
rnacentral:rRNA from 1 species